rnacentral:rRNA from 1 species
AUGGCUACCACCACUAGCUCUGCUGCCCUCCUCAUCGCCCUGGUCGCCCUGGCUGGCCUCGCCGACAUCCUCGCCGUUCAUGCUCAGGCCAUGGUGGCCGUAAAUACGACGAUGGAGCACUCGACGGAGCUGGAUGGGAAGAUGCAGUGCAUGAUGGGGUGCUUCACGACGGUGAUGAUCUGCGCAUUCAAGUGCAUGAUUCCCUGCGUGAUCGCGUGCCCCACCCUACCGCUCUGCAUCACCAACUGCGACCUCAAAACCGUUGGCUGCAUGUUCCGCUGCGGCACCGCGCCCUUGCCCCCCAAGCCCAAACCCAAGCCCAAGCCCAAGCCCAAGCCACCUGCCCCGCCUGGCCUGCAGCUAGACGCCCACGAUCACCAUGCAUGA